rnacentral:lncRNA from 1 species
CCUGCCUACUUAUUGUUGACUUUCUGUCUCAGGCUCUUGUCUGAGUUUAUUAUUUGGCUUCUGCCAUUCUCUUCAGCUCCUCUUUGAAGCUCCUGCUGGUAACUUCCAGCCUGCUCUUAAGAAACACCAGGCAUCAUCAAUGUAGAUGAGUCAGCCUGCAUUUUGGCUGUCACUCUCACCUUUCAGAAGUGACAUGAAGGCCUCCUAGCUGCCCUUUCUGCCUUAUACCUGCACUUAAUCUGGACUUGAACUUAGGGAUCCUCACCCUAGCCUUCAAAAGGAAUGCAGCCCCAUACUUAUCAGAUUCCACAGGAUGCGAGCAUAUGCAGUGGAAACAUUGUGUUAUUCCAUCCUCAGAAGAAAAGAGACAGUAUUAUACUUCGUCUCUUGCUAGUACAGAACUACCACAGAAACAUACCAGGAAAGCUGAGAGAAUCCACAGAUCCUUUGAAGGAAGUGGCUUGCUGUUGCAGGCUCCUUGAGACAGCCAAAAACUGACCUCCAGUACAAUUUUCAGGAGAAGUGGCAAGAAUGGACAUCCACCUCCCACCAUGUGAUGACAUGGUAAGAAGGCCCUUGCCAGAUGCUGGCACAUUGAUACCAAACUUCCCAACCUCCAGAACUGUGAGCCAAUAUAUUUCUAGUCAUUAUAAAUUACCUAGUCUGCAGUUUUGUUAUAGCAGCACAGAACAAAGAAAUACAGAUCCUCCCUGACUUAAUGUUGAGGUUAUGUUCUAAUAAACUCAUUUUAACUUGAAAAUAUUUUAAGUUCAAAAUGCAUUUAAUAGAUCUAAACUACAGAACAUCAUAGCUUAGCCUAUCUUAAACAUGCUCAGAACACUUACAUUAGCCUACAGUUGGGCAAAAUCAUCUAACAUCAAGCCUAUUUUCUAAUAAAUCUUAAAUAAUUUUUAAAUAUUUCGUGUAAUUUAUUGAAUACUGUACUGAAAGUGAAAAACAGAAUGGUUGUGUAGGUUCUCACCAUUAAUUUACAGAGUUGAAAGUCCACUGGACUUGAAGCUUGAGACAUUAAACUAAAAUCUAUUGCUGGGUGAUAAGGAUGCUACAACAACUGGGUUAUCAAUUUCUUUCUCUUCUGAUGAAACUUCAGAAUAGUUGGUAGAAGGCACUGAGACACUGACAUAUUGAUUUAGCAGGCAUAGUGUUCUUCAGAAAGACAUCGAGUAUUGGUUAUUUAUCCUCAUGUUACAUAUUUUACAUCAUUUGUUACUUCUCCCAUAUUUCUGAUUAUUUUAAAAAUUUUUGUCAAAAAGAAAUGAUCAUCAGAUUUGAGAAGAUCUAUCUGCCCUUAAGUUCACUAACAUUUACCAUCUAUACUUUGUUAAGAUCAUACUGUAAACAUUUUUAUUCAUUUAUUAUACUUUUCAGUUCUAGCAUUUUCAAUUUUUGUUUUUUCACAGUUAACAUUUCUCUUUUGAAAUUUCCUCUCUGUUGACUCAUUAAAACCAUUUUUUUCCAUAUUUGGCCUGGUUUGGUUUUUCUGUUGCUCUGACAUUGUGGAGAAAUUGUUCCCAGGAAGAUAAUGUCAUCUCUGAAUAACGAUAUAUAGUCAAUUUUCAUGCUGCUGAUAAAGACACACCUGAAACUGGGUAAUCUAUCAAGAAAAAGAGGUUUAAUGGACUCACAGUUCCACAUGGCUGGGGCUGCCUCACAGUCAUGGCAGAAGGCAAUAGGCAAGUCUUACGUGGCGGCAGACAAGAGAAAAUGAGACCCAAGCGAAAGGGGAAACCCAUAAUAAAACCAUCAGAUCUUGUGAGACUUAAUUACUACCAUGAGAACAGUAUGGGAGAAACCACCCCCAUAAUUCGAUUAUCUCCCACCAGGUCUCUCCUACAACAUGUGGGAAUUUUGC